rnacentral:rRNA from 1 species
GAUGAACGCUGGCGGCGUGCCUAAUACAUGCAAGUCGAGCGAACAGACGAGGAGCUUGCUCCUCUGACGUUAGCGGCGGGCGGGUGAGUAACACGUGGAUAACCUACCUAUAAGACUGGGAUAACUUCGGGAAACCGGAGCUAAUACCGGAUAAUAUAUUGAACCGCAUGGUUCAAUAGUGAAAGACGGUUUUGCUGUCACUUAUAGAUGGAUCCGCGCCGCAUUAGCUAGUUGGUAAGGUAACGGCUUACCAAGGCAACGAUGCGUAGCCGACCUGAGAGGGUGAUCGGCCACACUGGAACUGGGACACGGUCCAGACUCCUACGGGAGGCAGCAGUAGGGAAUCUUCCGCAAUGGGCGAAAGCCUGACGGAGCAACGCCGCGUGAAUGAUGAAGGUCUUCGGAUCGUAAAACUCUGUUAUUAGGGAAGAACAAAUGUGUAAGUAACUAUGCACGUCUUGACGGUACCUAAUCAGAAAGCCACGGCUAACUACGUG